rnacentral:rRNA from 1 species
UACGAAGGGGGCUAGCGUUGCUCGGAAUCACUGGGCGUAAAGGGUGCGUAGGCGGGUUUUUAAGUCAGGGGUGAAGUCCUGGAGCUCAACUCCAGAACUGCCUUUGAUACUGAAGAUCUUGAGUCCGGGAGAGGUGAGUGGAACUGCGGGUGUAGAGGUGAAAUUCGUAGAUAUUCGCAAGAACACCAGUGGCGAAGGCGGCUCACUGGCCCGGUACUGACGCUGAGGCACGAAAGCGUGGGGAGCAAACAGG